rnacentral:rRNA from 1 species
GUGGGGGCCCUUCGGGAGGCAGCAGUGGGGAAUCUUGCGCAAUGGGCGAAAGCCUGACGCAGCCAUGCCGCGUGUAUGAUGAAGGUCUUAGGAUUGUAAAAUACUUUCACCGGUGAAGAUAAUGACUGUAGCCGGAGAAGAAGCCCCGGCUAACUUCGUGCCAGCAGCCGCGGUAAUACGAAGGGGGCUAGCGUUGCUCGGAAUUACUGGGCGUAAAGGGAGCGUAGGCGGACAUUUAAGUCAGGGGUGAAAUCCCGAGGCUCAACCUCGGAACUGCCCUUGAUACUGGGUGUCUUGAGUGUGAGAGAGGUAUGUGGAACUCCGAGUGUAGAGGUGAAAUUCGUAGAUAUUCGGAAGAACACCAGUGGCGAAGGCGACAUACUGGCUCAUUACUGACGCUGAGGCUCGAAAGCGUGGGGAGCAAACAGGAUUAGAUACCCUGGUAGUCCACGCCGUAAACGAUGAUUGCUAGUUGUCGGGGGGUUUACCUCUCGGUGACGCAGCUAACGCAUAAGCAAUCCGCCUGGA